rnacentral:tRNA from 1 species
AAAGUAAGAAGCGAUAUAUUGCAAUCAAUUUCGACUUGAUCUUAGGUGAUUACAUCCUUACUUG